AUUCUUUUAGUAUUAGUUAGUACAGUUGACUUCCAAUCAAUUAGAUUCGGCACAAACCCGAAAAAGAAUA
rnacentral:tRNA from 2 species